rnacentral:rRNA from 1 species
CCUACGUGAGGCAGCAGUGAGGAAUAUUGGUCAAUGGCCGGAAGGCUGAACCAGCCAUGCCGCGUGAAGGUCAGUGCCCUAUGGGCGUUAAACUUCUUUUGUGCGGGAGCAAUCAUGGUCACGUGUGGCCAGACGAGAGUACCGUACGAAUAAGCAUCGGCUAACUCCGUGCCAGCAGCCGCGGUAAUACGGGGGAUGCAAGCGUUAUCCGGAUUUAUUGGGUUUAAAGGGUGCGUAGGCUGUGAGGUAAGUCAGCGGUGAAAUGCCCCCGCUCAACGGGGUGAAGUGACAUUGAUACUGCCUUGCUGGAAUGCGGAUGCCGUGGGAGGAAUGUGGGGUGUCGCGGUGAAAUGCAUAGAUAUCACACAGAACACCGAUUGCGAAGGCAUCUCACGAAUCCGCGAUUGACGCUGAUGCACGAAAGCGUGGGUAUCAAACAGGAUUAGAUACCCUAGUAGUC